UAAGCGGAGGAAAAGAAACUAACAAGGAUUCCCUUAGUAACGGAGAGUGAAGUGGGAAAAGCUCAAAUUUUAAAUCACCAAGGUUUCUUUGGUGAAUUGUAAUUUGAAGAAAGUGUUUUGAUAUUCGGGUUUUAUCUAAAUACUUUGGGAUAAGGUAUCAUAGAGGGUGAGAAUCCCGUCCAUGAUUAAACCUUGAUGUCACCUAAUUCACUUUCCAAGAGUCGAGUUGUUUGGGAUUGCAGCUCAAAAUGGGUGGUAAAUUUCACCUAAGGCUAAAUAUAUGCAAGAGACCGAUAGCGAACAAGUACCGUGAGGGAAAGAUGAAAAGAACUUUGAAAAGAGAGUUAAAUAGUACGUGAAAUUGUUGAAAGGGAAACGAUUAAAGUCAGUCAUGCUAGUGAGGAAUCAACUUGAUGGAUCGUAUCUUAUGAUCUUUCUGGUGCACUUUCUUGCUUGGUAGGUUAGCAUCAAUUUCGGGUAUCAUUAAAAAAUCGAGGGAAUGUAGCUUUCUUUCGGGAAAGUGUUAUAGACUUCGAUAGAAUGUGGUGACCGAGAUUGAGGAUUGCAGCGGAUACCUUUUAAGGCUAGUCACCUAGCUUCUGUCGGUUACCCCGCUUUCGAGAGCUUGCUAACGUUGAUGGGACUCGAUUGUCUAGAUGUUAGAGUGAUCAUAAAUUCGCUAAGGAUGCUGACGUAAUGGCUUUAAACGACCCGUCUUGAAACACGGACCAAGGAGUCUAACAUAUAUGCGAGUGUU
rnacentral:rRNA from 1 species